AGCAGCUCCCCGCGCAGCGCGGCCGUAUUUGCGGCCUGUGCGAGUAGGCGCUUGGGCAUUCAGUCUCCCUGGCGAGCGGCGGGCAGAAAUCUCGAACCAGUGGAGCGCACUCGUAACCUGGAUCCCAGAAGGCCGCGAAGGCAGUACCGUUUCCUCAGCGGCGGACUGCUGCGGUAAGAAUGUCUUUUCCCCCUCAUUUGAAUCGCCCUCCCAUGGGAAUCCCAGCACUCCCACCAGGGAUCCCACCCCCGCAGUUUCCAGGAUUUCCUCCACCUGUACCUCCAGGGACCCCAAUGAUUCCUGUACCAAUGAGCAUUAUGGCUCCUGCUCCAACUGUCUUAGUACCCACCGUGUCUAUGGUUGGAAAGCAUUUGGGCGCAAGAAAGGAUCAUCCAGGCUUAAAGGCUAAAGAAAAUGAUGAAAAUUGUGGUCCUACUACUACUGUUUUUGUUGGCAACAUUUCUGAGAAAGCCUCAGACAUGCUUAUAAGACAACUCUUAGCUAAAUGUGGUUUGGUUUUGAGCUGGAAGAGAGUACAAGGUGCUUCCGGAAAGCUUCAAGCCUUCGGAUUCUGUGAGUACAAGGAGCCAGAAUCUACUCUCCGUGCACUCAGAUUAUUACAUGACCUGCAAAUUGGAGAGAAAAAGCUACUUGUUAAAGUUGAUGCAAAGACAAAGGCACAGCUGGAUGAAUGGAAAGCAAAGAAGAAAGCUUCUAAUGGGAAUGCAAGGCCAGAAACUGUCACUAAUGACGAUGAAGAAGCCUUGGAUGAAGAAACAAAGAGGAGAGAUCAGAUGAUUAAAGGGGCUAUUGAAGUUUUAAUUCGUGAAUACUCCAGUGAGCUAAAUGCCCCCUCACAGGAAUCUGAUUCUCACCCCAGGAAGAAGAAGAAGGAAAAGAAGGAGGACAUUUUCCGCAGAUUUCCAGUGGCCCCACUGAUCCCUUAUCCACUCAUCACUAAGGAGGAUAUAAAUGCUAUAGAAAUGGAAGAAGACAAAAGAGACCUGAUAUCUCGAGAGAUCAGCAAAUUCAGAGACACACAUAAGGUAGUAUUCUUGUCUUUUCACUUGAUACCAAUCUAGACUUUUUACAGAAUCCAAAGCAAAGAGACAAAAAAAUCAACCUUAAAUUAGAAUAUAAUUUUAAAUGUUUUUUAUAGGUUUAAUUGAUAUUUAGAUAGAAAAAAGAAACAGAAGACCAAUACCAUAUUAAAGUGGUCCUUGACAUGUUGUGCUUAGUUUUUUCAGUUACUGACUAUUCUGCAGUCAUCUCACUUUAAUAUGAAUAGAAGCUAAUUUUAUUUUUAGAUUUCAACAUAAACAUCAAGGUCAGACUUAAAUUAGAUUCAGGGGCAGCAGGAUAACAUACACUGUAGUGUAUUUCUGGGGGCAGUUAUUUAACUUGAUCUUAGGAAUACCUUUUCUUUAGAGCUGAGAUUAAAAUUUACAUUUUAUAUUUGUAUAGAUUUAAGUUGAGUGGGGGAGAUUUUAAAAAGUAGGUCAGUGGUUACCAGACUUACCAAAUUUUAGAUGCAUGGAAGAACUGUAAAUUCCCGUAAAGCUAAUCUAUUCAUUGACCCCCACCAUUAUGAUAGAGAUCAUAUGGUGACUAAUGCAAGAUGAAACUCUCAGCUUGGAAAGUAACAAGGAAUAGGAUGUAAGUAUGAGCUUCUGUUUUUUAUUAUAUUUAUGGAUGCCCCCUCAGAAAAAUAUGCAAAGGGGUAACUGGCUUGGAAAUGGGUAUUUAUGCAUAGUAAAUCCCACUCACGAGUUUUGCCUAUUUGAAGCUUCUCUCAAUGACAGUGCAUCUGUGAAUGUUCGCUGGUGUUGAAAAUGAUACUUUUGAACGGUGCAAUGCAAACACUGCAUGAAAUGUAUUUUGAUGGUAGAGGUAAUAAGGUGUUGCUGGUUCUUACUGAUAGACUGAGAGAUCUUUAACUCAGUGAAAUGUUAAAUGUUCAUUUUCUCUUUUAUUCUUACUUUUUCCCAUUGCUUUCAAAAUCUGCAGUUCACAAAUAAUGCCAAUGAAUCAGUGCUGCUGAACACUUACUAUCCAGAUGCCCAGCCCUUGCUCACAUACACAGUGCUUUUUCAAGAAUUAAAUGUGUCUAAGAGCACAAACAUAAUUCUCCCAAAAUUAAUUUUGAGAGUUGAAAAGGUGAUCUAUGGGAAAUCAUUUUAGAUGAAUAAUUUUGGUUAGGUAUAAUACUCAAAUUCAGGACCGAGUAAGCUUAAAAAUGGUAUAUGGUUGUGUGUGUGGUUUACCCCCUUUUUGUUUUUAUUUGUUAAACCCUGUCAUGUUAUUGGUAAAUUAUGAGGAAAUCAUGUUUUAAGAAAAAUUCAAAAAUAUAUUUGCUUUAAAGUUUGGGAAUCUGUCAGGCAUUUUACUGCCUUAGUAUUAUUUCACUGGAGGGAAUGUUUUGAAUUUUCAGAAUGUCUUUUCAAAAUAAAAAAUCAAAAUAAAAAACCAAAACAGUUGUUUUUUAUUGGGUGGUUUGGCUAAAAGGGUUGUUUGAAACUCCAGUAACAAAAAAUGAGCUCAGUGAACCUUUGCAUGUUUUGGUAUGAGUUUAUUAAAUAACCACAGACUGUCAGGGUAUCAGCGUGGCAGGGGGCGUCCAUUUACAGCACGGAUGAGUCUGAAGAGAGAAUAAGGUAAGAUUUAUGAUUUUUUUAAUCUGUCCUUUCCUCUUCAUGACUUUCUUACAUAAUUUUAGACUCGCCUCAUUUCCCUUCUCCAGUCUUUCUUUAAAAAUAUACAUGUAUAUGUUUACAUGUAUACCUAUAUUUAUAUACAUGUGUGUAUAUAUAUAUAUAUAUCUCAUAUAUAAACUUUAGGAAACAUUUAGUAUGGACUAGAUUCACUCACUUUUUCAUUUACUUAGAACCAAACUUUUGAAAUGAGUUCUGAAACAAAUGGUUAUUUAUAUAACUGAAUAUAAGGAGCACAGUGAAAUAAGCAAGAAUUAAAAAUUGAGGAAUUCUACAGGAAAAAUUAGUAGUGGAACAGCUAAAAUAUUCUGUAAGUAUCUAUUUCAGAAAUAAACAAAUUUCUUUAUAAGUGUAUGCCAUUGAGGUAAGUUUUAUAUAGUCUAGCCUUAUUUUACAAUAUAAAUUUUUGUAUUCAUUAGAACUGUUUCAGAAAUGAGAUUUUUUCCCCCUUUAAUAGCUGUUAGUUUCUGUCCUCUUUCUAUCAUAUCUCAUUUCAUCCCUUUGUAAUUUCAAUGUAUUCAGUUUUGACUUUGCCUGUAUUCUACUUCGAUAUAGACUGGCACAGCAACUGAAUAUAUUGCUCAUACAUUAGCUUUUCUUUCAUAACCUGCUAUCAGUUCUCUGAUCCAUGAGGAAGAGAAAAAGAGUAUCUGACAGGUAAGAUUGCUUUUUAAAGUUGUUUUAAAUUCAUUACAUGACUGAGAAAAGAAAAAUGCACAUUUUAUUGUUGCAGUUUAAAAUUUCAUUUUGGUGAAACUAAACGUGAAACAAAAGGGAUAAAUGUGUUUUGUUUUGUUUUGUUUUACCUGUUCGGGGUAUUUUUUUCUGAGUUUGUGUAGAAACCGUGUGGUACACUGGUAAUCUUGUCAGGGUACAAACUUGGUCUGACUUUGUUAUUUGGUUUAUUUGUGAACCAUGUACUUGCUCUUCCUCCCAGAAACAUAGCUUGUAGGCAAGGUUAAUCCAGUGUUGGCGAUCCAUGUCCUAGCACAGCAUCUGUAAGUUAAUGCACAAUCGUUCCUUCCAAGGAUGGAUUUAUCAUUGUAAAUAUAUUUUCAUUGUCUUACAGGCAUAAUGGGCAUAAGUAUAUUGCUUUUAAAUAUUUUAAAUGAAACUAUUACAGUUACAUAUAUUUUGCUUGAAGUGAGUGAUUUUCAAACUUUUUGUAUUUGGUGGGCUGUCCAUCUUGUAAUGGUGGGAGUAAAUGUUUCCAUAGAUGAUAAGGCAGUUCUUGGCUGAAUUCAGGUUGUGUUUCUUUUGGAGGGUGGGCAAAUCAGAGGGCAGAGAUUAUUUAGUUGCAUUAUAGGUAUUCUUCUAUACCACUUGUCCUUUGAAACCCUCAACUUGAGGUAAUGCACAGUCUGGGGUUUUAAUUAGUAUUAAUAAUUUUGUGGAUUUACAGAAAUCCAUAAUGGACAGAGUUGAGUUUUAACCAAUGAUCGUAUUUAUAGAAAAUAUUUCGAACCACCACAUUCUUCAUGGUCAUUUUAGUUAGUACAUAGUCAUUGAGUGGCCAGCCACACCUGACAAAAUCUCCCAGCAUCCAAGAUUGGAGAUUCCUGGUCUGUGUAGAGUAUAUGGUUUUGCACGAAAUCUUUCUAGUCUUGUGAUUGCUUCAGUUUAAUCUGUCACAUAAAACCACAAGUAUUUAAUAUUAAUGUAUCAGUGGUUUGGUGUUUUUGUUCCCAGUACUGGGCAUUGCGCCGGGAAAAAUCUGAAUACUGGAGCUACAGAGUUAACUCUAAAAGUGCUUUUAUUGGUUUCUAGAAACUGGAAGAAGAGAAAGGCAAAAAGGAAAAAGAAAGACAGGAAAUUGAGAAAGAACGGAGAGAAAGAGAGAGGGAGCGUGAAAGGGAACGAGAAAGGCGAGAACGGGAACGAGAAAGGGAAAGAGAACGUGAACGAGAAAAGGAGAAAGAACGGGAGCGGGAACGAGAACGGGAUAGGGACCGUGACCGGACAAAAGAGAGAGACCGAGAUCGGGAUCGAGAGAGAGAUCGUGACCGGGAUAGAGAAAGGAGCUCAGAUCGUAAUAAGGAUCGCAGUCGAUCAAGAGAAAAAAGCAGAGAUCGUGAAAGGGAACGAGAGCGGGAAAGAGAGAGAGAGAGAGAACGAGAGCGAGAACGAGAACGGGAGCGAGAGAGAGAGCGAGAGAGGGAACGGGAGCGAGAAAGAGAAAAAGACAAAAAACGGGACCGAGAAGAAGAUGAAGAAGAUGCAUACGAACGAAGAAAACUUGAAAGAAAACUCCGAGAGAAAGAAGCUGCUUAUCAAGAGCGCCUUAAGAAUUGGGAAAUCAGAGAACGAAAGAAAACCCGGGAAUAUGAGAAAGAAGCUGAAAGAGAAGAAGAAAGAAGAAGAGAAAUGGCCAAAGAAGCUAAACGACUAAAAGAAUUCUUAGAAGACUAUGAUGAUGAUAGAGAUGACCCCAAAUAUUACAGAGGAAGUGCUCUUCAGAAAAGGUUGCGUGAUAGAGAAAAGGAAAUGGAAGCAGAUGAACGAGAUAGGAAGAGAGAGAAGGAGGAGCUUGAGGAAAUCAGGCAGCGCCUUCUGGCAGAAGGCCAUCCAGAUCCAGAUGCAGAGCUUCAGAGGAUGGAACAAGAGGCUGAGAGGCGCAGGCAGCCACAAAUAAAGCAAGAGCCAGAAUCAGAAGAGGAGGAAGAAGAAAAGCAAGAAAAAGAAGAAAAACGAGAAGAACCCAUGGAAGAGGAAGAGGAGCCAGAGCAAAAGCCUUGUCUGAAACCUACUCUGAGGCCCAUCAGCUCUGCUCCAUCUGUUUCCUCUGCCAGUGGCAAUGCAACACCUAACACUCCUGGGGAUGAGUCUCCCUGUGGUAUUAUUAUUCCUCAUGAAAACUCACCAGAUCAACAGCAACCUGAGGAGCAUAGGCCAAAAAUAGGACUAAGUCUUAAACUGGGUACGUUAGCAUUUCCUUCCUUCUUUAUUUUCUUCCCUUCACCCCUGCAAAUACCUGUAUUGUGCUUUAAGGAAAAAAAUUUAUAUUUGUGCUUGGUUAGGUAGAUAGAAGAUUACUAAAAAAUGCCUUUCUAGCUCACGAUUGUUUUCAUAGUUUUACUAGUGCUCCUAUAUCUGCAGCUGCCUCGAGUUCUGAGAAGAAGUGAAAAGUUUAAUUUUCUAGCACUUGUGAGUAGUGAGUUAUUUUUUACAGUUGGGAUCUUUCUCUAAGAUUUGUGGAAGUAUAUUUUGCAUUGCUUUUGAGGGAUGGUGGGUUAUAAAAUGAAACAUUUGGAAAUUAGGUCAUCUUGCUAAGAGAGUGUUUUUACUGUAGGUGCUUCCAAUAGUCCUGGUCAGCCUAAUUCUGUGAAGAGAAAGAAACUACCUGUAGAUAGUGUCUUUAACAAAUUUGAGGAUGAAGACAGUGAUGACGUACCCCGAAAAAGGAAACUGGUUCCCUUGGAUUAUGGUGAAGAUGAUAAAAAUGCAGCCAAAGGCACUGUAAACACUGAAGAAAAGCGUAAACACAUUAAGAGUCUCAUUGAGAAAAUCCCUACAGCCAAACCUGAGCUCUUCGCUUAUCCCCUGGAUUGGUCUAUUGUGGAUUCUAUACUGAUGGAACGUCGAAUUAGACCAUGGAUUAAUAAGAAAAUCAUAGAAUAUAUAGGUGAAGAAGAAGCUACAUUAGUUGAUUUUGUUUGUUCUAAGGUUAUGGCUCAUAGUUCACCCCAGAGCAUUUUAGAUGAUGUUGCCAUGGUACUUGAUGAAGAAGCAGAAGUUUUUAUAGUCAAAAUGUGGAGAUUAUUGAUAUAUGAAACAGAAGCCAAGAAAAUUGGUCUUGUGAAGUAAAACUUUUUAUAUUUAGAGUUCCAUUUCAGAUUUCUUCUUCUCCACCCUUUUAAGGACUUUGAAUUUUUCUUUGUCUUUGAAGACAUUGUGAGAUCUGUAAUUUUUUUUUUAUUGUAGAAAAUGUGAAUUUUUUGGUCCUCUAAUUUGUUGUUGCCCUGUGUACUCCCUUGGUUGUAAAGUCAUCUGAAUCCUUGGUUCUCUUUAUACUCACCAGGUACAAAUUACUGGUAUGUUUUAUAAGCCGCAGCUACUGUACACAGCCUAUCUGAUAUAAUCUUGUUCUGCUGAUUUGUUUCUUGUAAAUAUUAAAACAACUCCCCAAUUA
rnacentral:sRNA from 1 species